GACCCGGGGAUUAACGGGCUUUGGGAACAUAAGGGAGGGAGGAGGGCAAAUUGGAUCAGAGUUCUUCUGGCGCGGUGGAAGAGCCCAGCCGUCCUCAGCGUCCGUGUGACGCCUGCAGGGUGGAGCUGGAAACGAUCGGCCAGAAAAAGUCCCCAAGGCGAGGAUCUUCCCCAGCCCCCAUCGGGCAGCUGAAGAGGCUGUCUAGGCUACGCGGGGGACCCUUCUCUUUGUCAGUGAGCAUGGGCUGCAAGACGAAUAUCUUCCGUGCCGGCACUGCUCCAUUGACGGGGGCCGACCUCUGAGUAUGAUUCCAGAUGAGUCUCUGCUCUCAGCACUCAAUAUCGAAGUGGCCUCGCACGUCUCUCAUCAGCCGUAGGCAGGGUUGUCACCUGUCCAGGUUUCCCCAGGAUCGUCCUCUUGUUGAGGCAGCUGAGAAAUCUGUGAGUCUUCCUGGGGCCGGUGUUUGUCAGUUGUGUAAUAAUAAUAAUAAUCAUCAUUAUCACACCCCACUCAAGGAAAUGCGUUUACGUGCAGUUCCCUCCUCUUCCGAUAUUGUGAGAUACGGUACUCUACUGCCAAUGUCCUGAGUGUUUUUGUACUUUAGAGGCGGCAAUCCUGGGCGUUGUUAAUGUUAGUUUUCGGGCUAGGGUCUGGCUGGCUGGUGUGGUUAGUGUUAGUGGUAGGGCUAGGAUCUGGCUGGUGUGGUUAGUGUUAGUGGUAG